rnacentral:rRNA from 1 species
AGCGUACACGGUGGAUGCCCUGGCAGUCAGAGGCGAUGAAGGACGUGCUAAUCUGCGAUAAGCGUCGGUAAGGUGAUAUGAACCGUUAUAACCGGCGAUUUCCGAAUGGGGAAACCCAGUGUGWUUCGUCACACUAUCAUUAACUGAAUCCAUAGGUUAAUGAGGCGAACCGGGGGAACUGAAACAUCUAAGUACCCCGAGGAAAAGAAAUCAACCGAGAUUCCCCCAGUAGCGGCGAGCGAACGGGGAGCAGCCCAGAGCCUGAAUCAGUGUGUGUGUUAGUGGAAGCGUCUGGAAAGGCGCGCGAUACAGGGUGACAGCCCCGUACACAAAAAUGCACAUGCUGUGAGCUCGAUGAGUAGGGCGGGACACGUGGUAUCCUGUCUGAAUAUGGGGGGACCAUCCUCCAAGGCUAAAUACUCCUGACUGACCGAUAGUGAACCAGUACCGUGAGGGAAAGGCGAAAAGAACCCCGGCGAGGGGAGUGAAAAAGAACCUGAAACCGUGUACGUACAAGCAGUGGGAGCACGCUUAGGCGUGUGACUGCGUACCUUUUGUAUAAUGGGUCAGCGACUUAUAUUCUGUAGCAAGGUUAACCGAAUAGGGGAGCCGAAGGGAAACCGAGUCUUAACUGGGCGUUAAGUUGCAGGGUAUAGACCCGAAACCCGGUGAUCUAGCCAUGGGCAGGUUGAAGGUUGGGUAACACUAACUGGAGGACCGAACCGACUAAUGUUGAAAAAUUAGCGGAUGACUUGUGGCUGGGGGUGAAAGGCCAAUCAAACCGGGAGAUAGCUGGUUCUCCCCGAAAGCUAUUUAGGUAGCGCCUCGUGAAUUCAUCUCCGGGGGUAGAGCACUGUUUCGGCAAGGGGGUCAUCCCGACUUACCAACCCGAUGCAAACURCGAAUACCGGAGAAUGUUAUCACGGGAGACACACGGCGGGUGCUAACGUCCGUCGUGAAGAGGGAAACAACCCAGACCGCCAGCUAAGGUCCCAAAGUCAUGGUUAAGUGGGAAACGAUGUGGGAAGGCCCAGACAGCCAGGAUGUUGGCUUAGAAGCAGCCAUCAUUUAAAGAAAGCGUAAUAGCUCACUGGUCGAGUCGGCCUGCGCGGAAGAUGUAACGGGGCUAAACCAUGCACCGAAGCUGCGGCAGCGACGCUUAUGCGUUGUUGGGUAGGGGAGCGUUCUGUAAGCCUGYGAAGGUGUGCUGUGAGGCAUGCUGGAGGUAUCAGAAGUGCGAAUGCUGACAUAAGUAACGAUAAAGCGGGUGAAAAGCCCGCUCGCCGGAAGACCAAGGGUUCCUGUCCAACGUUAAUCGGGGCAGGGUGAGUCGACCCCUAAGGCGAGGCCGAAAGGCGUAGUCGAUGGGAAACAGGUUAAUAUUCCUGUACUUGGUGUUACUGCGAAGGGGGGACGGAGAAGGCUAUGUUGGCCGGGCGACGGUUGUCCCGGUUUAAGCGUGUAGGCUGGUUUUCCAGGCAAAUCCGGAAAAUCAAGGCUGAGGCGUGAUGACGAGGCACUACGGUGCUGAAGCAACAAAUGCCCUGCUUCCAGGAAAAGCCUCUAAGCAUCAGGUAACAUCAAAUCGUACCCCAAACCGACACAGGUGGUCAGGUAGAGAAUACCAAGGCGCUUGAGAGAACUCGGGUGAAGGAACUAGGCAAAAUGGUGCCGUAACUUCGGGAGAAGGCACGCUGAUAUGUAGGUGAAGUCCCUCGCGGAUGGAGCUGAAAUCAGUCGAAGAUACCAGCUGGCUGCAACUGUUUAUUAAAAACACAGCACUGUGCAAACACGAAAGUGGACGUAUACGGUGUGACGCCUGCCCGGUGCCGGAAGGUUAAUUGAUGGGGUUAGCGCAAGCGAAGCUCUUGAUCGAAGCCCCGGUAAACGGCGGCCGUAACUAUAACGGUCCUAAGGUAGCGAAAUUCCUUGUCGGGUAAGUUCCGACCUGCACGAAUGGCGUAAUGAUGGCCAGGCUGUCUCCACCCGAGACUCAGUGAAAUUGAACUCGCUGUGAAGAUGCAGUGUACCCGCGGCAAGACGGAAAGACCCCGUGAACCUUUACUAUAGCUUGACACUGAACAUUGAGCCUUGAUGUGUAGGAUAGGUGGGAGGCUUWGAAGUGUGGACGCCAGUCUGCAUGGAGCCGACCUUGAAAUACCACCCUUUAAUGUUUGAUGUUCUAACGUKGACCCGUAAUCCGGGUUGCGGACAGUGUCUGGUGGGUAGUUUGACUGGGGCGGUCUCCUCCUAAAGAGUAACGGAGGAGCACGAAGGUUGGCUAAUCCUGGUCGGACAUCAGGAGGUUAGUGCAAUGGCAUAAGCCAGCUUGACUGCGAGCGUGACGGCGCGAGCAGGUGCGAAAGCAGGUCAUAGUGAUCCGGUGGUUCUGAAUGGAAGGGCCAUCGCUCAACGGAUAAAAGGUACUCCGGGGAUAACAGGCUGAUACCGCCCAAGAGUUCAUAUCGACGGCGGUGUUUGGCACCUCGAUGUCGGCUCAUCACAUCCUGGGGCUGAAGUAGGUCCCAAGGGUAUGGCUGUUCGCCAUUUAAAGUGGUACGCGAGCUGGGUUUAGAACGUCGUGAGACAGUUCGGUCCCUAUCUGCCGUGGGCGCUGGAGAAYUGAGGGGGGCUGCUCCUAGUACGAGAGGACCGGAGUGGACGCAUCACUGGUGUUCGGGUUGUCAUGCCAAUGGCACUGCCCGGUAGCUAAAUGCGGAAGAGAUAAGUGCUGAAAGCAUCUAAGCACGAAACUUGCCCCGAGAUGAGUUCU